UCAACCCACAUCCAACAUCUAAGCUCAGCCUUCUUCCUAACAUGGUUCAAAUCAGUACAUUCCCCUUAAUUUUUUGACAGGAAUUUUCUGUGCAAUAUUUAUUGUGUCAUCUCUAAGGAUACCAUCAUGAAAAUCACAAGUAACUUCUGACAAGGGAUUAAAUAAAGUUACAUGGAGAAAAUAAAAUAAAGCUGCUUAUUUCAGGACACUGGUCAAAUGGAAAGUUUAAGAUUACUUCAGAGAAUAUUGAAACAUAAAUUCAUGGAAAUCUCAAUCCUUCAUCGGCAAAGGCAAUCUGAUUCAAGUGAAUGUCUAGUUGUAGCUGGCCCAAGGACCGAGCAGCUGACAUGAGUGCCUGAGGUCAGUGGGCAGGAGUGCAGAUGAGGACAUUGCCUUAAAUGGUGGAGAGAAGCAGGACCCCUAUCUUCACAUUCAUGUCAAGGAGGGCAGCCAUUGCCUAGCUCCAGGUGACUUCUUCCAAGAUGGAACGCACAACAUUUCCCAGUUUUUGGAGAGAAGCUCCUUUCCCCCUCUCCAAUUUGAGUUUUCAUG
rnacentral:lncRNA from 1 species